GGCCCCUGGGGCCCGCGCGCGCCGAACCGUGUCAGGCCCGGGAGGGAGCAGCACUAAGGCGCGGCCCGUCUGCUGCCGGGGUGACGU
rnacentral:SRP_RNA from 1 species